rnacentral:rRNA from 1 species
UGGGGAAUAUUGGGCAAUGGGCGAAAGCCUGACCCAGCGACGCCGCGUGAAGGAAGAAGGUCUUCGGAUUGUAAACUUCUGUUAUAGGGGACGAAUGAUGACGGUACCCUAUGAGAAAGCCACGGCUAACUACGUGCCAGCAGCCGCGGUAAUACGUAGGUGGCGAGCGUUAUCCGGAUUUACUGGGUGUAAAGGGUGUGUAGGCGGGAUUGCAAGUCGGAUGUGAAAUCCAUGGGCUUAACCCAUGAACUGCAUUUGAAACUGUAUUUCUUGAGUACUGGAGAGGCAAUCGGAAUUCCUAGUGUAGCGGUGAAAUGCGUAGAUAUUAGGAGGAACACCAGUGGCGAAGGCGGAUUGCUGGACAGCAACUGACGGUGAGGCGCGAAAGUGUGGGGAGCAAACAGGAUUAGAUACCCUGGUAGU